GUUUGAUCCUGGCUCAGGACGAACGCUGGCGGCGUGCCUAAUACAUGCAAGUCGAGCGAGCCGAACCAAUUGAUUACCUUCGGGUAUGAAGUUAGGGAAGCGAGCGGCGGAUGGGUGAGUAACACGUGGGUAACCUACCCUAUAGUCUGGGAUACCACUUGGAAACAGGUGCUAAUACCGGAUAAAAGGAGAGAUCACAUGAUUUCUUUUUGAAAGGCGGCGUAAGCUGUCGCUAAAGGAUGGACCCGCGGUGCAUUAGCUAGUUGGUAAGGUAACGGCUUACCAAGGCAACGAUGCAUAGCCGAGUUGAGAGACUGAUCGGCCACAUUGGGACUGAGACACGGCCCAAACUCCUACGGGAGGCAGCAGUAGGGAAUCUUCCACAAUGGACGCAAGUCUGAUGGAGCAACGCCGCGUGAGUGAAGAAGGUUUUCGGAUCGUAAAGCUCUGUUGUUGGUGAAGAAAGAUAGUGAGAGUAACUGCUCAUUAUUUGCCGGUAAUCAACCAGAAAGUCACGGCUAACUACGUGCCAGCAGCCGCGGUAAUACGUAGGUGGCAAGCGUUGUCCGGAUUUAUUGGGCGUAAAGCGAGCGCAGGCGGAAAGAUAAGUCAGAUGUGAAAGCCCUCGGCUUAACCGAGGAAUAGCAUCGGAAACUGUCUUUCUUGAGUGCAGAAGAGGAGAGUGGAACUCCAUGUGUAGCGGUGGAAUGCGUAGAUAUAUGGAAGAACACCAGUGGCGAAGGCGGCUCUCUGGUCUGUAACUGACGCUGAGGCUCGAAAGCAUGGGUAGCGAACAGGAUUAGAUACCCUGGUAGUCCAUGCUGUAAACGAUGAGUGCUAAGUGUUGGGAGGUUUCCGCCUCUCAGUGCUGCAGCUAACGCAUUAAGCACUCCGCCUGGGGAGUACGACCGCAAGGUUAAAACUCAAAGGAAUUGACGGGGGCCCGCACAAGCGGUGGAGCAUGUGGUUUAA
rnacentral:rRNA from 1 species